GCGGGGUUAGCUCAAGUGGUAGAGCGUCAGCUUCCAAGCUGAAACGAUGGGAAAAUCGAAAACCCACUCCGCUCCA
rnacentral:tRNA from 1 species